GAUGAAGAACGUAGCGAAAUGCGAUAAGUAAUGUGAAUUGCAGAAUUCAGUGAAUCAUCGAAUCUUUGAACGCACAUUGCGCCCGCCAGUAUUCUGGCGGGCAUGCCUGUUCGAGCGUCAUUUCAACCAUCAAGCCCCCGGCUUGUGUUGGGGACCUGCGGCUGCCGCAGGCCCUGAAAACCAGUGGCAGGCUCGCUAGUCACUCCGAGCGUAGUAAUACAUCUCGCUCAGGGCGUGCUGCGGGUUCCGGCCGUUAAAAAGCCUUAUUUACCCAAGGUUGACCUCGGAUCAGGUAGGAAGACCCGCUGAACUUAAGCAUAUCAAUAAGCGGAGGA
rnacentral:misc_RNA from 1 species